rnacentral:misc_RNA from 1 species
CGGAAACACGGUGCCGGAUAACGUCCGGCGAGGGCGACCUCAGGGAAAGUGCCACAGAAAGCAGACCGCCCCGUUUAUCGGGGUAAGGGUGAAAGGGUGGGGUAAGAGCCCACCGCGUUCCUGGUGACAGGGACGGCAUGGUAAACCCCACCGGGAGCAAGACCGAAUAGGGAUGACGCGGGUGCUGCGCAAGUGGUGCUACAGCCGGUUUUCGGGCCAGUCAUCCGGGUGGGUUGCGAGAGGCGAUGCGCAAGUAUCGUCCCAGAUGAAUGGCUGCCACGUUCCGGGAAACCGGGG